GUCAAUAUCAAAUAAACUGAGAACUAAAAGGAAAUUCUCAAUCUCUCCUUGUUGUAUAGCUGAGCUUUUCAAACAGUUUUAACAGUUACUUUAGUCUGACAAAAGCCGAAUGAUGAAUUAGCGCUUCCAGUCAGAGACUGAGGCUAUGUCCACACGUACACGGGUAUUUUUGAAAACGGAGAUUUUCCCUUUUCGUUUUAAAAAAUAAUCCCGUUCACACGUAAAGGCAGAAAUGAAGGAAAACGCUGCUAUGAACAUGCCAAAGCAGCAGGUGGCGCUAGAUUCCUAACCGUGCAGAAAUGUUGGCCAAUCAGAAGUCUAGAAGCCUCGGUGGGAAAAAGUAAACAAAGCUGCGGCAUAGAAGCAGAACCGAGUCGUAUGUGUGGAGGGACAGUAACUGUGUGUAUAUGUAAGCAUUUAAACACUGCAGAGAGUAGAAUUAACAGUAACAGUAUUGUAGAAAUUCAUUUCACCGAAACAAUAACGCGGCGCACAGUGUGACGCAUGCACCAGUUUAUUGUAUUUCCAGACUUGCUUUCGGCACAAUUUACAGUGCACGCUACUCUGUUUUUUGUCAGACUUGAAAUAGCCGAAAUACCUUCAAACUACGGAAUUUCUAUGGCUCUUCCGUUCGACAAUCUCUCCGGCAUUGGAACCAUCAUCGGUUUUCUCUUCGGUCACGCUCGGUUGAUUUUUCUAGUCGGCACACUCAUUUCCUCCAUUACCCGCUGGCUGCUUCCCAAACAAACACACGUGCGGCUUGGCACUUGUGCUGUACGUAGCAAGUCACGCGACGUGACGCUGCGGCUGUGAUUGGUUCAGCUCUGCGCUACUGAAUUUGGGUCGGCUGACGUUUUUUUUUUUUUUUUUUUUUUUUUUUUAAAGAGGACAAGAGCGGCGAGGUCUAUCGCGAUAGCUUAAUUUCUCUAUCGAGUAAAAGUUAUAUCGCGAUACAUAUCGUUAUCGUUCUAUCGCCCAGCUCUAGUAGAAGUUGAAAAAAAGCAUCAGUUUCCCAAAUACAUUGUAUAUUAAUGUAUAUUAAAUGACUGAAACUGAUUAAACAGCUGACUUUGGUUAACAGAAAGAGCCUACAGUGUCAAUGCAACCAUUUUGUUUUAAGAAAGCUAUGAGCACUUGUAUACAUUGUUUUUGUCACUCAAAGUUAUUACUAGGGUUUAUGCUUAAGUUCUGCCCUGUUAUGUAACAUCCCUUAUUGCAUGGAUAAACACUUCCUAAAAAAAACCCAGCUUUGUUUUAAGAAGUGUUCAAAACAAAAGCUUGUAAUUAAAAAAGUGAGAGAAACUACACUCUGUAAGAUCACUUAUAUAUUUAAGUGAGUAAAUAGAAUAUGUUGUCCAACCUGAAUUCGUUGAGUCCCUCCACCAUUCGGCUGUAAGCCAGAGCCCUCUGGCUGGCAUCAGCUGACCGCCGACUCAUCUUCAUGGCCUUGAGAGCGACACAACACGCAUGCACUUUUAGAUAUUUGGCAACAAAGCUGUCAAACUAAAGAACUUGUAAAGGAGAAGACUGGCUAACACUGGAAAUCUACCAGAGCUCUUACAGUGCCAACAACAGACACCAGUAAACAGAACCGCAGAUAUAAAAAGGCAUGACUAUUGACCGGUCAAUCUGACAGCAGCUCUGCUCAUUACAGCAGCAAACAGUGCUGGUUUGUAUGUUUUGUUCCAUUCAUGUCAUUGUUAAUGCAUUAGAUUUUGCAGGAAAACUUAUCUCUACAUCAUCAUUCAGGGAGGUGGAUAGGAACUUAAAACUGCAAUAAAAAGUUGGCCUCAAAUGAAAUUCCAUCCCUUUAACUUACCUGCUCAAUUGCACUCUUUAGUUUGUUCAUGUGGCUUUCAAAGAGUGGAAAGUGAGAGAAGAAGAAAUCUUGGAAGCGGCUGUUUUCCUCAGCAUUGGGGGACAGCGUGAAGAUGACACCUAUGGCUAUCUUCUUCUUCCGAAUCACACCCAGACUUGGACCGCCGCUUUCAUCCGACAUGUUGAAGCUCUCCUCCACCGACCUAAGGAGGAUAGGAUUCGCAUGGAGUCAACUUUACAAUGUAUGUCUGCAUGCAUCUCACCAUCGGGGGAAGACGCCGUUUUCUAGGCUGGUUGUUUGACUGCGGAGCCAUCGGCGCUGGUAACUGGAUGCACAGCUGCUGGUCAAGGACGAGCUCGGGGAUGGGAAGGGAGUGAUCAACAGGCUGCUCAAGGAAGCUACAAUGAAAGAUAAGGAAAGGAGUAGGGAACAGACAGAGGGAAUGGUUGAGACAGAAGAGUAAAAAAGGCACAAAUUAGUCAGACAACAAGUGUGUAGAGUACUCAGUUUCAAUGAGACAUCAUACACAAAAACACAGCCAGACAGACUUGAAAACAGUGCUCUCAAUCUAAGAGAGAAGGAGAGAAAAAAAAAAGAAAAGAAAACUGGUACACCGAAAACAAACAAAUGAAUCCUCAAACAUUCAAUCUUUUUUCUUGGUUUCCACAAACGCAGACUGUAAUUACUGAAUACCUUUGAUAUGAGCGCUAAUGUCAGCAAGCUUGCUCAUAGUCACAUGCUGCAGUUGUUUGACAAACUGGCUUUACACCAAGCUUGGCAUGAUAAUGACACUGACACACACACACACACACACACACACACACACUCUCUCUCUCUCUACAGGCCUUGAUCACAGGGUUAUUUACAGCCCUGACAGGACGCACUGAUCACUGGUCACAUGAACCAUUUAGUUGGUGUGUGAUAUUGUGUGUUUGUUUUAAGAGAUAAAGAGAGAUAACUGAAUGAAUGUGUACAUCUUGUAAGGAGAAAACUGAUAAGAGUGUUGCAGCAGCAAAAAACCCUCUCCAGCCUAACCACAGUACAGAGGUGGAGAAAGUCAAAAAAAGACGCAGAGUUCUUAAAUUAGAAAAGCUAGUAUCGAGCGACGAUAUAUUUAACUCUCUGCUUAAACAUGGGUCUCGUGCUGAAUGUACAAUUCUCCUCGUACCAGUCAUUCCAAUAGGACGUGGUGAUGUUUGAAGGGGUGGGGCUAAAGGAGAGCCUGGGAGACAGGGGUCAGUUUCCACAGGACAAACUUUUCCAGACUUCAGAAGCUAUGUAUUCACCUCAACACCAUCUUCCACCAUGCUUUUAUUUCUUUCUGUGUGGUUUUAUGUAGAGUGUAAUGACCCAGUAUCUUCCUGACAUACUCUCAAUGUUCUCUGUUCCUUGACCUCUUUAGUCUUGAUCAGAUUAAAUGUAGGCGUAAUUCAAAACUCAGCUGUGGGACUGAAAGUGGUGUGAGUGUAGGUCAAUCCAGGCUUUGGUGCCUAGUCUCAUUAACGUACCAGACCUGGCGAUGCCACUGUCCCUCUCGUCGUACAGCCCUCGGCCAGGCAUGUCCAUAGGGUGACUGUGGCCUGGAGGAAAAACAGGAAAGAGAGAGAAAGGGAAAAGUUAAGGGUGAGAGUGGGUGAAGAGAAAGUAGGGCAGAAAAUAGAAAUAAGGGAGGAUAAUAAACAAAAAAAUAAAAAAUAAAAUAAUGACCUGUGUGAACAAGAAAAAUGUUAUUAACGAACUGGAGCACCAAACAUGUUGAAGAUGCUGUUAUCGCCACUAUGUUAGAGAUUUACAAUGUUGCAUUAUAAUACACAAGAUGCUAAUGCUUUUAGAUGUGUAACAUUAACUCUUGGACUAGCAACCACAAAGCAGAAGAGUUGUUUUUCUUGAUUAGAAUCAAAAUAAUGAGUGCAAUGAGCCAAUACAGCAGAGAUGGGGUUGAAAUAUCUUAAAAUAGCCAACGGAGCAGUACUCAGAACUCCAUAAAAAAGGCUUUAACCUCCAGCAGGUGCUGAACUACUCUCUGCUGGGGAGUGGGCGCUCCCGAUUGAUUCUCAUGUCAUUAGUUAGCAACCUUUGUUUUCCAACUCCAAAAACAGGAAGUGUCACAAGGAAGACAAAUAAGGUGAAAAGCACUACUGUUGUAAUAGACUGUUACUCAACAGCUCACUCGGUGUCACUAUCAACAUCAUCUGCUGCAGCGCCGACUUCCCUCUACAACAACCCCGUAACACAGAUAUCACAGAGUGUGUCUGCACUUAAUGUCAACAUACUGACGGAAAGAAAAUGGGAAACAUGGAGGUAGUGAUAACCACUACUGAAGUGUGGCAAAGGUAUUGAUUGCAAUGUAAAAUACAGUAAUGUUUGGAGAUUUGAUUUAGAUGGUUAUACAACUUUCAAUACAAUCAAGGAAGUAUCUGAUUGGUCCCAAACUUAAUCAGCAGCAUAUCAAAGAUUAACAAAGCCCCCAAACAAGACCUAUUCUGUGAGGAACAGCUUCAAGUUGCAUAUUAAGCGUGUGUGAUAGACACAGAUGGUAGAAAAUUCUUCAUUAUGGCUAUUUUACUUUGCACAACAGCCAGGAAGUGAGACUGUUGCUACAAUUUCAUUGGCGUAAAUGAGAAAAGAUUUUGAAAGGGGGAAAAAAGAACUUAAAAACAGCCCACUGCACAUCAAGCCUAAAAGCAUUGCCCAAGUAUGACAGGCACUGUCAAAGACAACAUGUUAGUAAAAGUAUGUGAGUACAUAACAGAAACAGGAGGACAUGAAACUGUAAAAAUAACUAAUACUACAGCCACCGACACCAGCGAACCCUCAUGCAUUCCUGUGUGUUAUCCACCUGCAGACAUGGGUCAGAUAAAGUAUAUACAUGAUUUGAGACAGCUUUAUGGCUAAUGAGUCAAGUUCUUGUUUGUGAGGCUGCAAAUGCCUGAAGGAAUACACAUUCCCUCCACCGUUUCCUAGUUUCCUUGUGGUUUAUGUGAAGAAGCAGAGAUGAAGCUUAAGGGCAUGAGGUGUCUUUGAGUAUGGCUCCAAGACACCUCAAUCCUCGUUUAAAGAACUGCCUUUUCAUUUACUCAGUGCCACUUGCCUUUAAAUUUUUUGCACGUCCUAUCUGACCCAAGUUAUUUGCAGAUGCUUAGUGCCAUUGCAAGCUAUGUCUCGAAUACUAUCACUGCUAAUGCAAGAAUCACUACCCAGGCAUGCAGUUGCUGAGAGGCAUCCAAUGCAACCACCGUUACUUAAACUUCAGUCUACAGAUACGCAUGCAACUGACACACAGCAAUCAUGGUCAGUUUUGAGCGCCAACCUGAAAAGAAAGAAGCGCUCUUGAUGAGGCGUAGCGGGCCCUGUUCAGAGAAGGCCCGUCGAGGGCUGCAGAGCUGAGAAAAUCCUGCGCAGCACAAACAAAAACAUGGAAAAGAAGAAAGGGAGGAAGGGAAGAAAAAAAAAAAAGGACAAAAAACACGAACCAUGAUUAGUGAAUGGAGGAGGAAAUAUCACUGCCUCCUAUUGUUUGAAAGUCUCAUUAGUUACAGGAAAUUUUUAGUUUGAAAUGAAAUAAACAACCAGGCAGACAAGAGAGGUGGCAUCGCUCACAGAAAAUGCACCAUAUACGUUUUUUUUUUUUUUAAAGCAGGUUUCGUAAUUGGUUAGAUUUUCAGCUUUGAUGUAUGUAACUAGAUGUCUUUUCUGUGAGGAUGACAGAGAAUCUGCACAAAUUAGAAACUUCGCCAACAGUUCUUCAUUUGAGCUUUUUAAAAAUCAGGCUUUUAUGCUCAUCUUUGUAGCAGAAGCAUUUCACAGCCUAAGCCUAAAUCAGUUGGCUGCACAGACAAUGUACUGACCAUCAAAAACCAACACUCAAAUUUCACCACCUGUAGCACAGUCGGUCAUCAUAAGGAUCAGUGAAGCACGAGAGCACAAAUACUAGAAUGCCUUAAGUGUUUCAUAGAAUGGCCGAUUCUGUUUACCAACUGAGAAAUCUUGCGCCAGUUUAGGGUAGACGUAGCUGUAAAGAAAAGCUGUUGGCAAAGAGCGCCCUGGGAGGCCGCAAUGGUGGAGCUUAAAGGUGAAAAACUUCAACUUCCGAUAAAAUAAAUAAGCAACAAAAUUCAACACUUUACAGAGUUGAGCCUUUCAAACAAAAUGCCAUGAAGGUAAAAUUAAAUAUGCAUUUGUAUAUAUUUAACAAGUCCAAAAAAUGAACAAAAACAAACACAUUACAUAAAGAUAUAGAGCAAUUUCUCUCUAUGAUUACAUUAAAGAAAAAGUGACUUGGUAAUCUACUCAUAAUUUGUACAGAGGAAGAGAAAUGAUCACACAUGGCACAAAAAUAAAAGGUUUGGCACGGCACUAGAUUGCCAUGGUUACCUAUGUUCCCUAGCAGACUGUUGGGCCCAGUGUUUUGAUCAGGCUUUAGGGUGUUGUUGUCCUGUCCAAUGAACUCCAGGCUGUCCUGCAACCUGUGUGGGACGAACAGAGAAAGCCAGCAGAACAUUUAUAAGGAUUGUUGCCAACAACACUUGUAUUGUGGAUUGGAGAAUACUGGCAUAUCUUGGUUUAUGACAGAGUUCUGCAUAGGAGUCACAGCGUGUGUUGAUAAGCUUGCAAAUGCUUACGUGUUCAGGCUGCCGUACACGCUGCCUCCGGUCCUGGCAGUGAAGACUUUACUCAGCAUCAGCUGAGGUGGUGAUCUGAUAUGAUGAUGGUGCAGGAACAAAGAUCAUUAGUAUAUGUGCUUUGUUCAUGUUUAUGGUUGUGUGUUUCUUCUUCUACCUAAUCAAUUCACAACUUAUUUUCUUCCUGGAUCCUAUUAUCACCUUCACUUGACCUUAAAACUGUUUGGUCUCAGAAAACGUAAGGAUCAGAUAUCCCAUAGUUUCAACAAGUUUCUAAAAGUCCCUUUGUUCAGAACUAGAAUAUUUAAUGUUUGCUUUUUUUUAAACUCAGGAAACAGCAGUGAGGAGAAAGUCAUUCAUGCAUUCCUUUUCUUUUUACCUUAUCUGGUGGAUUUUAAGUGUAGAGCCUUUGUAGCUCAUGGCCACAGAGCCAAACAUCAUUUCACCCAGCAUAACCACAUCUGAUGAACACCUUGAACCCUGGAAAGGAAAGAAAUAUUUUGAUAUUGUAACCUCUAGGCAUUAGACACCGACACAAUCACAUUGUGCAAAUUCUUAAGGCAUCAUAGCAGUUAUUCAUUUAGCACUUAAUAUAAACGGGGGAGAUUGCACACAAUUUACUUCAGCAGUUUGAUCUCAAAUGAUACCAGCAAAUCAAAACUUGUGACUGAAACAUGCAACAAACUUCAAACUAAAUUGAAGAGUGCUCCCCAAGGACCAUAAAGUAUACAAGCACAGUUUACAUUUGUGUGUUUAUGGAUAUGUCUUUGUAGAAGAGUACUUCAUUUAAACAAUCUCAGUCCUGCGUUACCUGGAAGCGGAGGCCUUGCUCCUUGGAUUCCUUGGUUUCCGAGGUGCAGGAAGAGGAGCUGUCCAGGGAACUGCUGCUGCCUCCUGUAGGACGAAGCUGGCAGCAUUUUCCAAACAUCUUCACCUGGGACUCGGCGCUCUGCAAGAUAAAAAAAAAAAUCAAAAUAUAGAAUAUUAUAGACCCAACUGCCAAGAAUGCAGACUUAUUUACCUCUACAAUUAGUUGUUGAUUUUUGUUUUGCAACUUUUCAUCCUUGUGACUACCGUAAUUGUCGGGCUAUAAGCCGCUACUUUUUGCACAAGCUUUGAACCCUGCGGCUUUUAGUCAGGUGCGGCUUUUCUAUAGAUUGUCCAUGAUUUUUGUGAUAUCGUAAGACGAUUUGUUUUGUUUGUUCCGCUGUUGUACGGCACUACGUUGCCUGGCGGAAGGAUCGGGGUUCAAGAGUGGUAUGUUGGUCACAUGUCCAUCCGCCAGGCAACAUAGUGCCGUACAAGUAGCGCGAAAAACAAACUUCAAAGUAGCGUUAUGCGUUCAGCGGGAGUCGUGGAUGACGAGCGGCGAUAAACUUGCGAAAAGCAAGUUGUGCUCAACUCUACCGGUGGAUUCUGACAGCGUGGAAAAGUGUGCAAACAUCCACGAUCACCAAC
ensembl:lncRNA